UCUACUAAAAGAAUAUUUCAGAAACCACAACUCUUAAGAGCUUUGCUCAGGCAGCCAUUGGUCCGCCACUGGCAUUAUUCCACUGAAAGCACAUUAUCGUUGAAUAAACAUGAGCUGCCAGAAAUUGUGGAUUUGCACAGAGGCUUUGGGAAAUCUGGCCAAGCCUGCAGGAAAACAUCUGCCUGGAGAUAUGUGAAUCUUCUUCUUCAUCAAGAGAAACAUGUUUUGGCCAGAGAUUUGAGCUUGUAAAGCACAACAGGCACAGCAAACCCUUCUAAAAUUCCCAGAUGAUACCAUCCUAAAACAGAAAACACUGAGAGUUGAAUUUACAUGAAAUAAAGCAUAUUAUGUCUGU